rnacentral:rRNA from 1 species
GACGAACGCUGGCGGCGUGCCUAAUACAUGCAAGUAGAACGCUGAAGAGAGGAGCUUGCUCUUCUUGGGUGAGUUGCGAACGGGUGAGUAACGCGUAGGUAACCUGCCUUGUAGCGGGGGAUAACUAUUGGAAACGAUAGCUAAUACCGCAUAACAAUGGAUGACACAGGUCAUUUAUUUGAAAGGGGCAAUUGUUCCACUACAAGAUGGACCUGCGUUGUAUUAGCUAGUAGGUGAGGUAAUGGCUCACCUAGGCGACGAUACAUAGCCGAACUGAGAGGGUGAGUAGCCAGACUGGGACGGUGACCCGGCCCAGAGUCAUACGGGAGGCAGCAGUAGGGAAGCUUCGGGCAUGAGGGCAAAACUGAGCGAGAAAGGCCGAGUGAGUGAAGAAGGAUGUCGGAUCGGAAAGCUCGGUCGUAAGUCAAGAAAGGGCGUGAGCGUGGAAAGUUGACAGUGUGACGGUAGCUUACAAGAAAGCAACGGCUAACUACGUG